rnacentral:rRNA from 1 species
AUUGAACGCUGGCGGCAGGCCUAACACAUGCAAGUCGAGCGAGAGGCGGACGGGUGAGUAAUGUAUGGGGACUGCCCGAUAGAGGGGGAUAACUACUGGAAACGGUGGCUAAUACCGCAUACUAUCGGAUAACCCAUAUGGGAUUAGCUAGUAGGUGGGGUAAAGGCUCACCUUGGCGAAGAUCUCUACCUGGUCUGAGAGGAUGAUCAGCCACGCUGGGACUGUGGCACGGCCCCGACUCCUACGGAGGCAGCAGUGGGGAAUAUUGCACAAUGUGCGCUAUCCUGAUGCAGCCAUGCCGCGUGUAUGAAGAAGGCCUUAGGGUUGUAAAGUACUUUCAGCGGGGAGGCGUUACCCGCAGAAGAAGCCCCGGCUAACUCCGUGCCAGCAGCCGCGGUAAUUC